rnacentral:lncRNA from 1 species
CACGAUAUGGAAAAUGCUAUUUUAUCAUCUCUUUGACUUCCAGGCCUUUCUCUCUCAGAUGAGUGGGUGAUUAAAACACUGUCAGCAGAGGCCAAACAGGGAUCCAUAGACAAGACAAAUGUUUAUACAGCUGAUCCCUCAUCGCUGGGGAAAAACGCAGAACCUCCGCAUUGUGUUUGCUCAAUUUGAAGGGUAAUGGAAAUGCAGCUAAUGUCAACAUGGACAUUUGUGACGAGAGCCAAGAAGUGUCUUGGAAUCAGAAACCAUAAAUAGUAAAAAAAAAAAAAAAAAUUACAAAUAAAUAAAAACGCCAAAAUUGAUGCUCGGAAAUCUCACAUGCUACUGUACUCAGGUGAGCAUAAAUACACACCUGCAUGACUCAAGGUGGUGAUACAAUAUGCUAAUUUUCUCC